rnacentral:rRNA from 1 species
AACAAACGCUGGCGGCGUGCCUAAUACAUGCAAGUCGAACGGGGUAGCAAUACCUAGUGGCGCACGGGUGAGUAACGCGUGGAUAAUCUGCCUUAGAGUGGGGGAUAACUAGUCGAAAGAUUAGCUAAUACCGCAUAAGACCACCAGAGCUGCGGCUCAAGGGGUCAAAGGUUUUUCGCUCUAAGAUGAGUCAGCGUAAGAUUAGCGAGUGGGUGAGGUAAUGGCUCACCAAGGCGACGAACUUGAACUGGUCUGAGAGGAUGAUCAGUCACACUGGAACUGAGACGCGGUCCAGACUCCUACGGGAGGCAGCAGGAGGGAAUAGUGCACAAGGGAGGAAACUCUGAUGCAGCGACGCCGCGUGAGUGAUGAAGGCCUUCGGGUCGUAAAGCUCUGUCGCAGGGGAAUAACACAAUGAAUGUACCCUGUAAGAAAGGAUCGGCUAACUUCGUG